rnacentral:rRNA from 1 species
UAAGCGGAGGAAAAGAAACUAACGAGGAUUCCCUUAGUAGCUGCGAGCGAACAGGGAAAAGCCCAGCACUGAAUCCCGGGGGCCUCGCCUCCAGGGAAAUGUAGUGUUUGGGAGGGUCCAUACACCCGAUACCGUCGCACCGCGUCCAAGUCCAUCUUGAAAGAGGCCACGGUCCCGAGAGGGUGCCAGGCCCGUGGUAGGCCGGUGCAGGUGUUGGGUGGACCUCUCCUCAGAGUCAGGUUGCUUGAGAGUGCAGCCCUAAGCGGGUGGUAAACUCCAUCUAAGGCUAAAUACAACCACGAGACCGAUAGCGAACAAGUACCGUGAGGGAAAGUUGAAAAGAACUUUGAAGAGAGAGUUCAAGAGUACGUGAAACCGCUCAGGGGUAAACGGAAAAGACCCGAAAUUUCCGAAGAGGGAGAUUCACGUCUUCUCGCAGGUUCGACGCAUCCAUUCCUCUCCGACGACCCUGCCCCCGUUCGGACUCNGUCCGGUGCGUGGCGGUGGGGUUGCAGAGGGUGGUGUGGAGGCCCGCGGCGGACCGCACUUCUCCCUUAGUAGGACGUCGUGACCCGUCCGGUCAUGGUCAUAAGGGUGCAGGGUGGAGCCUGACCGAUCGUGCUUGCACGUCUUCGGUCAGACCCCCGUGCCCCGGCCAUGAAUUUCGGUCGGUAUCGAAUGACAGUGUUAGGUCACUUACCGGGGGAGGCAACUCCUUUCAGUGAGUGCGUGUGGCUCUCGACAAGGUGCUGGGAUGUCGGUCAAGGCGGGCUCCCGUCCGUCUGGCCCCGCUCGGCCCUGUUGGUCUUGCUGCUCUCACGCUGGCCUAUCUACACUCGUCUACGGCGAAUCAGUUUUGGGCUCUUGUCCGACCCGUCUUGAAACACGGACCAAGGAGUUCAGCGUGUACGCGAGUCAUUGGGUGGUAAAACCCAAAGGCGUAAUGAAAGUGAAGGGAACUUUACGUUUCUGAGGGAGGAUGAGUCGGUUACCCGCAAGGGGCUGCUCCGCACUCCCGGGGCGUCUCUUUCUCAUUGCGAGUGGAGGCGCACCCAGAGCGUACACGCUGAUACCCGAAAGAUGGUGAACUAUGCCUGGCCAGGACGAAGCCAGGGGAAACCCUGGGUGGAGGUCCGCAGCGAUUCUGACGUGCAAAUCGAUCGUCGGAACUGGGUAUAGGAUAGAUGAGAACUCCGGCUUUUCUUGAACUUUGUUUUUGAAGCCGGGGGGCUCGGAUCAGAGUGCCAAGUGGGCCAAUUUUGGUAAGCAGAACUGGCGCUGUGGGAUGAACCAAACGUCGAGUUAAGGCGCCCAAAUCGACGCUCAUGUGAAACCAUGAAAGGCGUUGGUUGCUUAAGACAGCAGGACGGUGGCCAUGGAAGUCGGAAUCCGCUAAGGAGUGUGUAACAACUCACCUGCCGAAGCAACUAGCCCUGAAAAUGGAUGGCGCUGUAGCGUCGUGCCUAUACUCGACCGUCAACGGCAAAGAUGGCUGGCGGGCAACCGUCGGCCGUUACGCCUUGACGAGUAGGAGGGCCGCGGCGGCGUGCGUAGAAGGGUCUGGGCGCGAGCCUGCCUGGAGCCGCCGUCGGUGCAGAUCUUGGUGGUAGUAGCAAAUACUCCAGCGAGGCCCUGGAGGACUGAUGUGGAGAAGGGUUUCUUGUGAACAGCUGUUGCACAAGAGUCAGUCGGUCCUAAGCCCUAGGAGAAAUCCGAAGCGAUGGGUUGCCGUUAAUGUCAAACAACAUGAAGGCACCCGUUUGGGCGAAAGGGAAUCCGGUUCCUAUUCCGGAACCUGGCAGUGGAACCGUUCCAAUUCGGGCCCUCUGAGGACUCGUCAGGGCAACCUGAAUAGACCCGGAGACGCCGACAGGAGGUUGGGGGGAAGAGUUGUCUUCUUCUCUAUAAGCGAUCGAGUUCCCUGGAAACUUCUAGCAAGGAGAUAGGGUUUGGGAUCGCGAAAGAGCACUGCAGGUUACGGGCAGUGUCCCCAAUCUUUCCUCUCGGAACCUUGAAAAAUCCGGGGUGAGGGGCCACGAGGAAACCCCACGCCCGGACCGUAACCCAUAUUCCCCAGCAAGGUCUCC